rnacentral:rRNA from 1 species
GAUGAACGCUGGCGGCAUGCUUAACACAUGCCAGUCGGACGGGAAGUUGUGUUUCCUGUGGCGGACGGGUGAGCAACGCGUGAGAACCUGCCCUUGGGAUGGGAACAACAGCUGGCAACGGCUGCUAAGACACCGCAGGCUGAGGAGCAAAAGGAGUAAUCCGCCCGAGGAGGGGCUAGCGUCUGAUUAGCUAGCUGGUGAGGCAAUAGCUUACCAAGGCGAUGGUCAGUAGUUGGUGCGAGAGGAUGAUCAGCCACACUGGGACUGAGACACGGCGCAGGCAACUACGGGAGGCGGCAGUGGGGAAUAUUCAGCAAUGGGCGGAGGCUUGACGGGGCAAUGCGGCGUGGAGGUAGUAGGCCCAGGGGUGAAGAACUGCUUUUCCCGGAGAAGAAGCAAUGACGGUAUCUGGGGAGUAAGCAUCGGCUAACUACGUG